AUUAGUUUGCAAAAAGUAUAAUUUGAUUCAAAUUUGAAUGGUAGGUCCAAGGUCGUUUUUUGACAUUUUUAAAAUCGGCCAAAAUUACAAUAUUCGAUCCACAGUGUUUAUUUACUUGAAAGCCCAAUAUUUGUAUUUUUUCUUGGAAAAUUGUGUGAAUAUCAUGUCGCUUAUUCCAUUUUUCACUAUCCAUAUUGAUUUAAAAUCUGUAUGAAUAUUUUUAUUCCCAAAAUCCAUCAAGUACUGGUACUGUAAUAUUUGGCAGAAAUGGACUUUUAACAGUCUACUCUUUAACAUUGAGUUUAACUGUUGAAAAUUAGCCCAAAACUGUUUCUGAUCAAACUAAUUUCGCUUUAAGGAUGAGGCCUGGGUAUAUUAGUUUGCAAAAAGUAUAAUUUGAUUCAAAUUUGAAUGGUAGGUCCAAGGUCGUUUUUUGACAUUUUUAAAAUCGGCCAAAAUUACAAUAUUCGAUCCACAGUGUUUAUUUACUUGAAAGCCCAAUAUUUGUAUUUUUUCUUGGAAAAUUGUGUGAAUAUCAUGUCGCUUAUUCCAUUUUUCACUAUCC